rnacentral:rRNA from 1 species
UGGGGAAUAUUGCACAAUGGAGGGAACUCUGAUGCAGCAACGCCGCGUGCGGGAUGACGGCCUUCGGGUUGUAAACCGCUUUCAGCCAUGACGAAGCUUUUGUGACGGUAGUGGUAGAAGAAGCACCGGCUAACUACGUGCCAGCAGCCGCGGUGAUACGUAGGGUGCGAGCGUUGUCCGGAAUUAUUGGGCGUAAAGAGCUUGUAGGCGGUUUGUCGCGUCGAUAGUGUAAACACGCAGCUUAACUGUGUGCCUGCUGUCGAUACGGGCUGACUAGAGGAGGGUAGGGGGGAAUGGAAUUCCCGGUGGAGCGGUGGAAUGCGCAGAUAUCGGGAGGAAAACCAGUGGCGAAGGCGGUUCUCUGGACCUUUCCUGACGCUGAGAAGCGAAAGCGUGGGUAGCAAACAGG